UCCUUUCAUUUUUCAUCCCCAACAGCAGCUCGAAGACUGCGGACGAAAUUUGUGCAAACAGAAUGUGUCUUUCCUUAAUACCUAGCAAAUUUGCUCACUAUGGGAGUAUCUGGCCAAUCGGAGUCCGAUUGGAACACGUCUAAAAUGGUUGAAGAUUCCCAAAUUGGAGAAAGGGUUGGUCACGUGCCGAAGACAGACCAGACUCGACGUAGCUGGUCUACUCGUGAGGAAGAGACCUUGAUGUUAGCCCUAAAAGACCUUGUUGUGAAAAAGUGGAAACAGAUAACGACUUUCGUGGCGGGUAUCUAGCCCGGAUUGAGGAAAUCAUCAAGCGUGAAUGCCCAAAAAGUGACAUUAAGGCAACCCCCCAUAUUAGCUCCAAGCUCCAGCACUGGAAAAAAAAACUACUACUCUCUGGUUAUCAUGCUCAAACGAAGCGGCAUUGGCUUCAAUUGCAAGGGCGAUCACAAGAUUGAUUGUGAUAACCACCAAUGAGAACAAAUUGUUAGGGUGUAUUUCUUACUAUUAUUGGCUUCUUACUUAUGUUUUCACAUGUUUAUUAUUGGUGAUGUGUUUCAAGUCGUGGCCUCUGUUUGUUGAAUGG